CAGGUGUAAAAGACCGUGGCUAAUCAGUUAACUACGUCGAUAAUUGGCGGUGGUGACUUGUUUGUUCGUUUUAGUUCUCGUUUAACCGAGAUCCAGUUUUUCUCUCCCUCAAGGAUCGUGAAACUGUUCUCGUAACGAAAAUUUCGUUGGGAAUGGACUUUUUCAUGGUUCUGUGGGAGAAUUCAAGCGAAAGGGUCGGGUCAACGUGUCACGUUUCACUGAUCAUACGGUUCUAAUUAACAUCCUAAACCUUGAAUUCGAGAGUAUUGGAUAAUUGCAAGAUAGCUCAAGCUUCAACGCGACUGUUAAUAGUGUCACGCAGAAAGUUUUUAAAAGAUUUAUUUAAGGAAAUCUAAAUGAUUUUUAUUAACAGCUUUGACUAUAUCGAAGAAAUUAAGACUGCACGGAGGCACAAGCAUUUAAAUUCCUGUUUGUUACGAUGAGGAUUAAGUAGAUCUUCGUUUAGAUCCUAAAGCUACUCCUGUAUUCCAUGACGCUAUUGUUUUGUUGAAAUACAAGGAAAAGUGUAUUACGUCGAGUGCGCCUUGAUUAGAAGGCACCCUGUCGCUCAUCUGUCUCUAUUAGCCUGUAAAGGGUUCCUCUUCUUAGGAAGAGCUUCUGCUACCGAGUCACGUAUGCCCAGAGAUCAAGACGCUUCCAAUACUCCCAGCAAACAGUGAAAGGAAUAAACAAUGGGUGUUGCCGUUGGUAUAAAUGAAGAAUGCAACCUCGGAUCUUUCGAGUUGCAUCCUCGUCACUACUUUCCCCAAGUCGGUGGCAAUUGUUACCUGGAAACAGUUGGAAAUUCAAUCGAUAUUGGACGAGUGAGAACAUGCAACAAGGAAUCUCCUGUGAACAAGAUGAAAACAUGUAGUUUAACUUCUCGAAAGGAUUUUGCUUGAGCGUUUCAAGUUACAUGGAUCGACGUUUUGCCAGUUAAUGAUGGGUGUUGUCCUCGAUCGUACAGAAAGUAGAUAGGAUUAAUCGUAAAGGACAAAGUGACAAGGGAUAGAGUGACCGAAUGCACCUGAUUAUACAUCGAGUAAUCACUCGAAAUUCCAAGUACCUGAAUGGCCUUCUAGUAUACUUGCAAGUCGAUACUUUUGCGUUCCGUGCUCCUAAAGUAUUCCGAUAAUUAUAGAUCGCCUAUGCGACAACACACGAGAAUACCGCGAAGGUGGAAGUAUCUUAUGUUGCAGCUUUGUUUUUUUUUUUAUACAGAGUGACCCACUAGAAAGAAGCCAUUCCAACACGGCUACUAUUUUAGAUAAUAGGAAGUGGUGUUCGUUAUAUUUAGACUGUUCGUUAUCAGAAUUGUAAUGUUUGUAAGAGUUGAACAUUUUAGAGAAGACUCCUGGCAAUUUUUCUCAUAGAGUUUCAUUGCGAAGGGCGUGGCGGUGCAUCAACGGGACCGGUAUAAAACUCUCGACGUGCUUACAAUCGACGAGGGAAGGAGGACGAGAGAGAAGCGCGUCCAUUCUUUUCCGCCUUUUGCGGGUGCCACGCCAGCGUGCUCGUCAAACAAGUAACUCGAGAUCGAGGGGUGGGUGAGGCUGUACUCGAGGCUACACCCCGUUCCGAUGAAUUUCGAUCUCGACCACCGCCGCCACCCUCUGGGGGCUACGCGCGAUGUCCACCGUGACGAACGAACCGAGACUACUUCAUUCUAGAUUGGAAAUUUCUUCGACCGCGAGCAAGGGUGGAAUUAAGGGACGUUAAUCCUCUUUGCCUACCCAUUCCCGCGAGUUACGCAACGAUCAGCCCUUUGUUGACAAAACGUUAAGCUUCGACGACGAUGGGGUGGACCCUCGAGACGUCGAGGAUGCAUUUAUUGUAUUUUAUUAUAGGAUGUUGUAGAAAAACGCAGUGGAAAUUUUAUAGCUCUUUCCACUUAUUUUUCCGCGAGGAAUCAUUCGCUGCUCGUUUGUACCGCCAUCACUGUAUAUAUCGAAAAGAAUCAUCGAAGCGCGUUGAUUACGUUUCGUUUCAGUGCUUCUUCUAUUAAUUGAAAAUCUAGCUGCGUUUUCAAGGAUCGAUCGUUCUUGGCAACAAUGCGAUUCCGUGUGUAAAAAAAAGCAAACAUUCCAAAAGAUUCAAUGCGCGAUGAAAUAAUAAUGGUCUAGUCUUUGUCAAUGAUCAGCGUACCGUGCAAUGAUUGAAUUGGUUACCGUCGAUUUUAUUUACAUGUACCUAUCUCGAUUCGAAAUAUCACCGUCGACGGCGCGUGAUCAAUAAUUCCAUACCGACCAGUAGCGAAUUGAAUCUUUCGCGUUUCUUUUUCUCUUUUCUUUUCGACACUGUCGUGUUUUGUCCGCGGCACGUGUUAGGACAAGUGGGGAUCGCGUCGAAAACACCAUUAGCCUGUUUCUAUUCCCCAUGAGGACCGUAUCCUAUUUCAAAAAAUACCAUCGCGUCUCUUUGAAUAUCGUCGCGCGAAUUCCAGCGCGACAAUAUUCGUUACUAUGCAUCGUUUUAAUUUAACAACGUUCCGUCCAACGGGCAGCCAGUGAUCUCGAUAACACCAGUAAACAGAUUCAUUGAAAUUGGAGCACCUAUAACAAAGCGCUUACGAUCGAUUGAUCCAUCGCGUCUGCGAUUGUUGAAUCUAUUUCUGCAUGCUUCGACCAACUAUAGAGACGAAUAUCAGCGUGAAAACAAAAUUUCCGAGGUUCGUAUCGCCUGAAACGCGAACGUCAAACGCAAUCGACUUUACAGGGUGCAAAAUCGUUUCGCGUUUGUCCCCUCGUUAUGCUGACAAUAGAAAUUUAACGUGUUCGUCGGUAGCAUUAAAGAAGGUAUUCGCGUGGAAAAUGAAGACUCGAGGUCAACCACAAAAGGGCUGCUGCGAUUCAAAUUUAGCGAUAAUUUUCAUCUAUAUACCGCGUUAGCGUAAGACCUUUCUUCUUUAAAAAAAAAAAACUACGUAAAAAAUUGCUCACGAAGGGAAAUAAUGAAAGGACGUGCGUCGAAUACGAAAUUAUUAUCGCGUUCGACACAUUUAUUAGAAUGAUUAUGUGUACUUGUGCUACUUGUGUUUGCAUCGAGGUAAAAUGUCACGUAGGAUGAAUGUACUGCUUGUUGAUUCACACCCUUUUCGAGGAAACAUUAAUUUACGAUCGAUGCCUUCGAUUUCUCUUCUUACAAAAGUAUUCUUUAGUUUUUUUUUUCAAGAGACUCGCCUCAAUAAACAAAUGUUUAAUUUGAAGAGUUCAAUUCUUUCCCAAGGGAAUCGUUUUGUUAUUAUAGGUGAAUGAUGCGAAUCAAAGGAGACAAUUGUUGUAAAUCGUAGACAGAAGUGAUUCGUUACAAUGAUCUAUGUUUCAUGUGCGGGAACAAUCGAAGAAAUGGACGGCUUUGCGAGCAACCCAUCAACCACACUCGAACGAAAGAGUGCGUAGGUGUGGUGGAUGUUUACUCAUUCCUUCGUUACUGUUAGACGGCUUGUCGAUCGAUUGCCACUGAAUUAUACGAGUCCGACCUAAUUAUACUGCUCGUAUAAUUACGCGCCCGUAAGGAAAGAAAUACACGACAGGAAGCGAGUCCGUCUGAUCGUGAAAGGAUCUUAAAGGAUCCAUUAAAGUGGGAACGAGUGCAUUGUAGCUUGAUGAACGAUCCACAUCGAUUGAAUGAAAAAAGGUUUGACUGUUUAUUAUUCACGAGAACUUGAUAGCUGGUUUUAACAGCAUUUCAGAUAAUUUCAUCAAGUUCUUGGCCCUGUUAAUUAAUUCGAUUUUACGCGCUACCAGUAUCGUUCAGAGAAGAUACCUGUACUCUAUAUUGCGAAGCCUGUAUACACCAAAUCCCAAAAACGUGUGACUUUUUACCUGUGUCUCGAUGUCUGAGACCUCUUGCCGAUAAAUUAGGAUGUCGUGGAGCGUAUUGGCCGUCUGAACGAUCAACGCAAGGAUCGGUAUGAAUGGCAGCACCAGCAUUUGCAGGAGCUGGAUUCGACGUCCACGGCGAUGAGC